GCCCGGGUGGCGGAAUUGGCAGACGCGCUAGCUUCAGGAGCUAGUGGGAGCAAUCUCGUGGGAGUUCGAAUCUCCCCCCGGGCA
rnacentral:tRNA from 2 species